CAUGCCGUAAACGAUGAGUGCUAAGUGUUAGGGGGUUUCCGCCCCUUAGUGCUGCAGCUAACGCAUUAAGCACUCCGCCUGGGGAGUACGACCGCAAGGUUGAAACUCAAAGGAAUUGACGGGGGCCCGCACAAGCGGUGGAGCAUGUGGUUUAAUUCGAAGCAACGCGAAGAACCUUACCAGGUCUUGACAUCUGCCGGACCCUGCAGAGAUGCAGGGGUGCCCUUCGGGGAACGGCAAGACAGGUGG
rnacentral:rRNA from 1 species